CAGUAGCCGCGGUAAUACGAAGGGGGCUAGCGUUGCUCGGAAUGACUGGGCGUAAAGGGCGCGUAGGCGGAUUGUUUAGUUAGGCGUGAAAUUCCUGGGCUCAACCUGGGGGCUGCGCUUGAUACUUGGUUGCUUGAGUGGGGAAGAGGGUCGUGGAAUUCCCAGUGUAGAGGUGAAAUUCGUAGAUAUUGGGAAGAACACCGGUGGCGAAGGCGGCGACCUGGUCCUUGACUGACGCUGAGGCGCGAAAGCGUGGGGAGCAAACAGGAUUAGAUACCCCCGUAGUCCCUGUCUCUUAUAC
rnacentral:rRNA from 1 species